UGUAUUAGCUUUAUGCAUGUGAAACCGGACGUGAACGGUAUGCUAAGUGUUAGCUUAACCUCGAGAGGUAAUGCCAGUACAAAACCGGUGUUGCUGUCUCCGACAAAGUAGAGAAGUUUAUGGCUCGUUAAAUCAAUGGUCGGCAAAAGGACACUCGUUUGCACGUAUUUGGAGUAUAUCUGGACGUUUCCAGUCCGAAGAUAGUCCUGCACUUAAGUUUUAUCCAGUUAAGUUGAACUCUGUAGCGCCAGUGAUUAGCAUUCGCUAGCUAAGCGAGUGUGCUCGUGUGGAUCAGCGUAGCUAACGCAGCUGGCUACAAAGAUUGUUUUCUCGUCGUUUCGGCUUGGAAGAUGAAGAUUUGUCACAGUAGAGUGCUGAUAGACUAGCAGAAGUUAACCACUGGAUUAUAAUUUUUGUGUUUUUUUGCGUUGUGUGUCUGGAGGCUGAACUUGGACCAGCGGAUGUAACUGCACCGCCAUUUCAGGACAGUUUCGCCUUCUUCUUCACGUGAACUUGGAUUGAGACGCACACACGGAGCUCCUAACCAGCACUCGAGGAGGCGGAGGAGGAGGCGGCGAAGGAGAAGGCGGAGAAGGAGGCGGAGGGUCGCUUUACGGCUGUGUGUGUGCGUGUCUCACCUGUCUCCGCUCUGCGUGAUGAGUCUCCUGCACGUCUCCAUCUGGACGUCCAGCCCUCUCUUCAUCGAACACAUCUCCAUGUACUCGUGCAGGUGUCGGUUCAUGUCGCUCU